GUGAGAGGAGUGUGCUGAGAAGGACAGUUCUCAGCACAUAAAGGCUGUGUGCUAAGCCUGGAACUUCUCCCCUCUCUCUGCUGGGAAAACUUCAUUCGCAGUGGAUGAAUGAUUUGUUUGUAGUUGAUUUCAGGACCAAACUGGUCCUUGGGCUUUGCUUGUCCAUUCAGCAGAGUUUUGCUGUUGUCUGGCCAGAAAAUGACUCAAUCUGACCAUGACCAAGGGGCAUGAGCAUUUCUCAAGCAAGGCAGCAAGAGGAAUUAAUCCUUCAGCUGAUAGCUGGGAGCUGAUAGUUAGAACCUUAUGGUGCACAGGCAGAUUUGAAUGAAGAGGGACCCACAGGGUGAAAAUGGUAAGGAAAGGACGGGCUGUGCUGCUACAACACUCAGGAUAAGGCCUUGACUAAGCUCAGUGCUCCUUUGAGAGCUGUAUCUGCUCAGGCAGAUCUUCAGCUGGGAGGGAGCUGGAUGGAGGAGGCAAUGGGAGCAGAACGGACGCGUGGGUCACCGAGGAUGUGUCUCAGUUCCAGUGAUCCCAUCUGAAAGCACAGCAAUAGGUUUAUUAAUCUGUGUGUUCUAGUAAGUGAAUGCACUUUUGCUGUCACACAGUCCUCACGUGAAGAGGUUUUCUGGAGGUCUGCAACAUGCCAGAGGCAGUUUGGGGAGCGGCAAUGGGCAAAAUAGGAGUGGGAGGGCUGGUCCCCACCGACAGCCUUCUGAGCCAAAGGAGCAGGGAAACGGGGACAGCAUCUGUGCUGAGCAGAGAAUUCUGUGGGGCCCAUUGGAGGACCCCGGUGCUGGGACUCAAAGCUUAGACUGCCUUGCAGGAAAUGUGCUUUGUUCAGCUGUCUGUAGCAGCAGCUUCCAGGAACCUCCACCCUUUCUCCUUCUUGCUGUAGCUUGGGGUGCAUAAAACGUUUUCUCGUUAACUAUAAAACACCCAAACCUCAGCAGAAUUACAACCAGAUGGAUAAACAAACUUUCAAACAACAUGAGAAGAGCCCUUCAAAGGCAGGAGUGAGGCAGAGCCCUGCCCAGCCCUCGGAGAGUCCCUGCUUGCCGGCCCCAGCAUCCUGCUCCAUUCCCAGCAGUGGGAUGCUUUGUGCAUUACCAGAACAGACUCACAUUCUGCUCACUGUGGCUCUGCAGAAGCCUUUGUAAGAAACAAGGACAGCUCUCAGGGCCUCUGUUCCUUAAAAGAGUGAAUCAUCAUUUCCUGCUGCUCCGAUGGAUGGAGGCUUUGCCAUGAGAGGAUGUGGGUUUCGUUCCAAUCAGCAGCGUGAAUUUCUGAAAAACAGCAUUAAAAUGAGUGGCAGCUCCACACUGAGCACAGCAGGGCUGCUCUUCUCAGGAGCAUUCAGGACAUCCUGAGCCUGCAUCCUGCUGGCAGGGUGUAGUCCCAGCCUUGCACUAUGGGUGAACACCUGCAGGCAUGAAGAUGCUGGAGAGGACCGGCUCCUGCUUCCCCCCACAUUCUAUCAAUGGGGAAUAGCAGUGCCUGCCCCCCAGGGCUUUGCAGCCUCUUUGUGGGAGCGAGGGAGGGAACCACUGCUUUUCUGGUUUCUUUUUUAGUUAGGCUUGUGCAACGGUGGAUGGCAGCUGCAUCCUUUCAUAGAGGUGUGUUUUGUGCAGCAGUUAUUUCAGGGAAGCAGUGAAUUCAUUCCCUCUGUGCUGCUCUGCCCACAGAAGCUCCUACAGAAGCCAAGUGCUGCCCUGCUGGAAAGAAUUUCCAUGGCACUGAAGUCAGAAGCUGGGAUGUCACUGCUGAGGUUCCCAGGAAGGGGGGGAGGGAAGGGAGCACACUGAGCAUAGAGCUAUAGCAUCAUUAAGGUUGGAAAAGACCUCUGAGGUCAUCAAGUCUACCUGUGAACCAUCACCCAUCAUUUCCCCAAAGCACAUGUAAAGGAUCAAACAUGAAGCCAAUGAUGGCAUCACCAGUGUGGGGGAGAAUGAACCUCUAUCACUGAAGAGCUCCAAGUUCUCCACAGAGAUCGGGCUCUGGGCAUGGGGUGUACAGAAGCCACCACCAAGGACCUGUUUUGCAGGGCUGCUCUGUGCCUCAGGGGCUGUUUGGCCAUUGGAUCUCAGUGCAAUGGGUCACACAGUCAUCAGUGGUAUGUCAGCUCCAGUGAACUGUUAAGAAGGAACCAAGCAAACAGAACUUGGAAGCUUUGAUAGAGGAAGGUCAGCAGAGACAUCCUCUCCAUGGCAGGACACUGUUUUUUGAGCCUGGGCUGCUCUGCCUGGCUGGAGGUCCCUGGCUCAUUGCAGUUUGCUCUGUUGAGCUGGGUGUUGGAUGUGUGAGUGCUGCAGGGAGCAGCUGAGGCUCUGGGUGAACCCAGAGGAGGUUUUUGAUUCAGACACAGUUGUUCACCCACGUGCAGUGCGCAGGGAGAGCAUCAGAUGUCUCUUAUCUUUAUGGAGCAGCACCUGCUCCCUCUUUGCUCUGAAUGUGCGCUGUGCAGGGCAUGGGAGCACAGAGCUUUUCCUAGAGAAAUGAGCCAAGUCUGCACAACCUGGAGCUGUGUUGUGGGCAGGGAAUUUGCUUGGGUUCACUCUCCAUUCCUGGAGCUGCUGCCACACUUCUCUAAAUGGGGGCAUUUCAGCUCUGGAUCCUGAUGCCAGGAAGACAGACAUGUCUGACCUGCUGAUGCUCAGGGUGGGAUUUACCUGUUUCAUUCAUUGCUCACUUUGAGACCAAUUCUGCUGGCCUGGAGGUGCAGAUUCCCACUUAGAACCUUUUUGCCACUCAAUGUCCAGCAUCUCUGAGACUUUUAGGACCUGUUCCACCAUUUCAGCAUCACUUCUCCACCUCGAGCAGGACGCCACGUGGCAGAGGAACAACCCAUCCUGCUUUACCAAAUACUGCUUCUCUACCCAUGGGGUGACACCAGUGACCUCUAAUCUUCCUGAAACCCUUCUCAACCUGCCAGCACGCAACGCCACUGUGAGCAAACCCUUCUUGUUACCACUGAGCACAUCCAAAUAUUAUUUCAUCCCUGUCCUGCAGCCCAGCUGGCCUGGGAGCCAGCAGCAACGUGGCUGCAGGACAGCAUGGAGAGCUCAGGGGCACAUGGUAGGGAUGCAGUCCCCAUCCCAUGAGCGUCACGUAUUGCAGCUCCAAGCUCUGUGCUCUGCAUGGCCUGCUCAGUCUCCCCCAAGUGCUGACAAAGUGUCGAGCAGAGGGACAAACUGGAACCAAAUGCUGAUGGUGCAGACUUCCCCUCCAAGUUGUGCAGGCCCUCCUGGGUCUGCUGGCCUUUAAUUCAUCUCCUCGCCCGCGUCCCAAGUUGAUUUCUGUCAGAGAAGAUAAAUGUUGUCUCCGGAGUUGAGAUAAGAGGGAUGAAAUCUGUCCUUUUCCAAAGGCUUUGCAGAGGGUUUGGGGGGUGCAGAUGGAGCACUGGGGUUGGCUUUGCCAAGAGCUGGGAGCUGAAGGAAA